CCACAAAUGCUUAGGGAAGGAAUGGACAACUCUAUAAAUAGUGGAUCUUGAUGGAAUGGGAAUUUGUGCCAGUGAAAAUGCUGAGAUGAAAGAAAAGAAAGCUCAGGGGCCACAGAGAGUGAAGAGAGCCAAAUGCUGCCAUGAGCCUUCCACUCUCCGCUUGAUGUGCAGCCACAUGGACACAAAUGGAGAUCAUGGAGCAGACCAUCAAAAAAACUCACAGUUUAUCCUGAAGAAACCUUCCACAGUAAGGAAGAAUACUGACUUUGCAAAGAUUGAGUAAAUCCAACAGCCUUCUGUCAACAGCAAACGGGUGCUUGAAGAAAACCUCCUACCAAAUGGAAGCUGUGUUGAUCCAAUACGGCCUGAAGCACCCCCAAAGCUGUGCUUGAUACUGGAAAUGUUUGCUGUGUCAAGGCACAGCCCAUUCAGAAUGUAACUUUUGCUAUCAAGCUAUUUGGAGUUAUGACUAAUGUAUCCCAUGGUCUCUGCCCCUGCCUCCACAACACUAAAUGGUCUCAAAAAUGUCACAAUCUCAUGCUCACAGAGGAAAAAAAAAGAAACAAUGUAUUAACAAAGGGGCUCAGACUUUGCUUUCCAGAGGCGAGACAGACAAGGCAAAGCUAUGAGGAUGACCAAGAUGACAGCUAAAGCCCGUGCUGUAGGAAGCAGCAAACCAAGCUUCAAACACACAAAAAUCAACUCCAUUAGGAUGGGUCUGUAGAGGGCCAGGCUGCAUGCCAGAAACAGAGCAGCUCAGCUCACCAAGAGUGUGUUUACGUGGCAGCCAGAGCACUAAGGGCGUUUGGCUACACCUGAGCCAGCUGUGCACCUGCUAGCACAAGGGCAGCCCAUGGUGAGCAGCACAGCUCAGCACUCCAGAACUUCCUCAGAUGAGCCCAUUUUGACACCCACACCUCACACAAAAAUAGCUGGAUUGCUACCACUCCUUGAUCUGCCCAUCCAAAUGUUACUCAGACACAUCUAAAAAGGCUGCAAUCACUUUUUUGUCAUCAUUGUGGACGUAACCCUUAUGGCAGGAAGCAAUCAGGAGGAUAUGCAAUAACAAAUUAAUACCAAAAGCCAAGCUGUCUUCCAUGCCACAAAACAAGGAAAAGAAUAAAUCUAAAGAACAGAUUCCA
rnacentral:lncRNA from 1 species